ACCAGGUCCAACACCACGUCCACCACCAUAUUCACCACCACAUCCAGCACCAUGUCCAGCACCAUAUCCACCACCAGGUCCAAUACCAUAUCCACCACCAUGUCCACCACCACAUACACCACCAGGUCCAACACCACAUCCAACACCACAUCAAAGACCACAUACACCACCACAUCCAACACCAGGUCCAACACCACAUCCAACACUUCAUACACACCAGGUCCAAUACCACAUACACCACCAAGUCCAACACUACAUACACCACCAGGUCCACCACCACAUCCAACACCACAGCCAACACCACAUACAAGACCACAUACACCACCACGUCCAACACCACAUCCAACACCACAUCAAAGACCACAUACACCACCACAUCCAACACCAGGUCCAACACCACAUCCAACACUUCAUACACACCAGGUCCAAUACCACAUACACCACCAAGUCCAACACCA
ensembl:lncRNA